rnacentral:rRNA from 1 species
UACGUAGGGUGCGAGCGUUGCCCGGAUUUAUUAGGGCGUAAAGGCGCGUAGGCUGGUGAGAUGCGUCCGUUGUGAAAUCGCCCGGCUCAACUGGGCGGGGUCAGCGGAGUACGGUCUCACUUGAGCAAGGCUAGGGGGCAAUGGAAUUCCCGGUGUAGUGGUGGAAUGCGUAGAUAUCGGGAGGAACACCAGUGGCGAAGGCGGUUGCCUGGGGCUUUGGCUGACGCUGAGGCGG